rnacentral:rRNA from 1 species
AUGGUCUUAGCUUGCUAAGGCUGAUGGCGACCGGCGCACGGGUGAGUAACACGUAUCCAACCUGCCGUCUACUCUUGGCCAGCCUUCUGAAAGGAAGAUUAAUCCAGGAUGGCAUCAUGAGUUCACAUGUCCGCAUGAUUAAAGGUAUUUUCCGGUAGACGAUGGGGAUGCGUUCCAUUAGAUAGUAGGCGGGGUAACGGCCCACCUAGUCAACGAUGGAUAGGGGUUCUGAGAGGAAGGUCCCCCACAUUGGAACUGAGACACGGUCCAAACUCCUACGGGAGGCAGCAGUGAGGGAUAUUGGUCAAUGGGCGAUGGCCUGAACCAGCCAAGUAGCGUGAAGGAUGACUGCCCUAUGGGUUGUAAACUUCUUUUAUAAAGGAAUAAAGUCGGGUAUGCAUACCCGUUUGCAUGUACUUUAUGAAUAAGGAUCGGCUAACUCCGUGCCAGCAGCCGCGGUAAUACGGAGGAUCCGAGCGUUAUCCGGAUUUAUUGGGUUUAAAGGGAGCGUAGAUGGAUGUUUAAGUCAGUUGUGAAAGUUUGCGGCUCAACCGUAAAAUUGCAGUUGAUACUGGAUGUCUUGAGUGCAGUUGAGGCAGGCGGAAUUCGUGGUGUAGCGGUGAAAUGCUUAGAUAUCACGAAGAACUCCGAUUGCGAAGGCAGCCUGCUAAGCUGCAACUGACAUUGAGGCUCGAAAGUGUGGGUAUCA